GGCUAGUGGAACGGUAUGGAAAGGCCGGCCAUAGAGGGUGAUAGCCCCUUACACGAAAGCGAAUCGGUGGUACUGAGCGUACGACAAGUAGGGCGGGACACGUGUAAUCCUGUCUGAAGAUGGGGGGACCAUCCUCCAAGGCUAAAUACUCAUCAUCGACCGAUAGUGAACCAGUACCGUGAGGGAAAGGCGAAAAGAACCCCGGGAGGGGAGUGAAAUAGAACCUGAAACCUGAUGCAUACAAACAGUGGGAGCACCCUUGUGGUGUGACUGCGUACCUUUUGUAUAAUGGGUCAGCGACUUAUAUUCUGUAGCAAGGUUAACCGUAUAGGGGAGCCGCAGGGAAACCGAGUCUUAACUGGGCGUUAAGUUGCAGGGUAUAGACCCGAAACCCGGUGAUCUAUCCAUGGGCAGGUUGAAGGUUGGGUAACACUAACUGGAGGACCGAACC
rnacentral:rRNA from 1 species